rnacentral:lncRNA from 1 species
CUUGACGGAGCACAGUCUCAGUCUGGACGCACACACCCUCAAUACAAUCCACCACCACAAGUGCACCAUCAGUAAUACGAAGAGCAGCUGUGACUUCAGACGAAAAGUCAACAUGCCCGGGAGAGUCAAUGAGAUUGAUGAGGUACUCAUUUCCGUCCCUCUCUCCCUUGUAGCUCUUCAAAGCUUCAUCACUCAUCUCAUAGUAGAGAGAGAUACCGGUAGAUUUAAUUGUGAUACCACGCUCUGCCUCAUCUGCACGGGUAUCAGUCAUCCGGACAUCACCAGCAACUUCUUGUGCAAUGAUACCCGCAGCAGCAACAAGCGAGUCGGUAAGGGUCGACUUCCCUGCAUAUUAAAAUUCAAUAUGAUUAUAUGUAUGAACAAACACGCAGGACAUCGUAACAAAUGACAAACCGCAAUUAUACAUAUUGACUGCUGAAAUAUUUUUUUGACAAACUGGUGAAACAUUUUAAAUUAUAACCAUUAGAGCAAAAAGUUCAAUAUACAGAAAGAAAAAAAAAUCCACCUGACUAAAAUAUUACAACAUUAAAAAUCUUUUUUCACCAGGUUAAUAAAAACACCUUGUUACGAAGAUAAGAAUUGUAAAGUGAAAAAAAAAAAAAAGAUAUAUACCAUGAUCGACAUGAGCAAUAACAGACAUAUUGCGAAUGUUGUGCUUGUAGUCCAUAAUUCUACGGAGUUCCUCUGCAGUAAACUUCACCUGCACAUAUCAAGAAUAUCGCACCAUUAAGAAUUAAAUAGUCAAUGGAUCAGCUCAACAACAACCAUGUAACCAUGUUCAGAUUGAAAGACGUUACUUACCAUCUUGACUAGUCUUUAAUAACCGGCAAUUAGUAUCUAUAAGGAGGUGAUUAACCGACAAGGAACCACCUGCAAAAUUAAAACAACAGAAAGAAUGAAUUUAGAAUUCAGCUAUGAAUAGAAACAUUUAAAGCAUUCAAACUAUUAGACCCAAUUCAUUUCAAACGUUUUCAAAACGAUUAGAAAAAACGAUAGCAAGAAAUUUCCCAAAGGAGUAUUGAAUUCAGGUGAAAAUCAUAGAUAAUUUUUACUGCAUCAAGCAAUGUUAAUAAUCAAGACAAAAGAUAUUCUGUAAAUUGUCUUCACAAAAUAGAAAACAAGUACACAUAAACUAGUAGAUUUUAGAAAAUAAAUAAUUGAUCUGGAAAAUAUGUUUUAAAUUAAUUCUUUGACGUGCACAGGAAACAAAAAAUUAGACAGAAAAAGUCUCAAUUGGAAAUUUCAUACUUUCGUGAAGACAAAAUUUACUCUUAAAUUAAAAGUAAUCUUUCCACAACGAAACUAUUUUCCGGGAAAACAGAGUAUGUACUGUAUUAGUGUGAACAAAUUAUAAAACAAAGAUCUAGCUAAUACAAAACAUCCACUCACAAAUUAUAGUAAAAUUCUCAUACAUCACGUAAGAAAUUUCAACAGUUUAAAGAAAACGUCAGAAAAUUUUUCCACAGCAAAAAAAUUUCACGUAAAAAUUUUCCGAUGAACCAAACAGAGCCUGAGGGAGUGAUCCGUACAGAAAACAAGGAUCUAGUACUAACAAGAAUAUCUGAGCGAUGAUCGAAACAGUAAACUAGCAAAUCUGAUGGAAAUAGUAUCGAAUCAAAAGCAUGCAGAACAAUAGUAUAAUUUCAAAAAAAUAAAAUCCAUGCAGAUCACUGAUUUUUCAGACAAAUAUGUUGGAGUAUGUGGCCCAACUUUUGAUUAAACAAAUCAAAAAGGAAAAAAAGACAAAAUAAUUAUGUCUCUUCCUUGUUUUGGGGAAAAGAAAAGGGAAUUUGUCUAAAGUUUUCUUGGUCUAUGUGGGAAGUCACGGAUGAGUUUUUGAAAAAUAAAAUCCAUGCAGAUCACUGAUUUUUCAGACAAAUAUGUUGGAGUAUGUGGCCAAGUGGCCAACUUUUGAUUAAACAAAUCAAAAAGGAAAAAAAGACAAAAUAAUUAUGUCUCUUCCUUGUUUUGGGGAAAAGAAAAGGGAAUUUGUCUAAAGUUUUCUUGGUCUAUGUGGGAAGUCACGGAUGAGUUUUUGAAGUAGAAGUAAUUGCUACUUUUGAUGAAGAGUAGUAAUGAAGCCAUAAGAGAGAAAAAAAAAACGUAGCAGAAAAAUAGAGCAAAAACAAAGGUGCUGAAGCCCCAUUUUGAAGAGAAGAAAGAAAGGUGAUUUUCUUUCUUUGUUGGUACUCACUCAAUCAAAGUUGUAUUUGUGUAUUAGCUUUGAGCUUUGUAUAGAGAGGAAAUUAUUCACUAUAUUUCCCUCUCUAUUUGUUUCUUUGGUGAGUGAGAGUUAUUGGAUGUAUUGGGGUUUUGGGUUGUGAGAUUGCCAACACUUUGUAAACUCCCAUUUGGUUGAUAGUGGAUUAUUGGGUGAGCUCCUACUGCUCCGAGGACGUACUCCAGUUACACUGACUGUUGAGGAACCUCGUUAAAAUCUUGGUGUUCUUUUAUAUUUUGUUCUUGCAUUUUUAUUUGAUAAAAUUUCCUGUGGGUUAGCUUGAGUUGGUUCCAACGGGUUUGGUGCUAUCCUAGCACAACAAUUGGUAUCAGAGCACUGGUUGCUCUUGGGUACUGUCUAGUUGCCAAAGAUGUCAGACGGGCAAGAUGAGAAUCCUUUUGGAAGCAACUCUGGGUUUGCAAGAACUACGGUGCAAAAUGCAAAGUUCGAAGUGGAAAAGUUUGAUGGCACAAACAACUUCGGGAUGUGGCAAUGUGAGGUCAAAGAUGUGUUGGCUCAACAAGAUCUACUUGCCGCUUUGGGAGAGAAGCCGGAAGUUAUGUCGAAGCCGGAAUGGGAGAAAUUAAAUUUGUGGACUUGCUCUUCAAUUCGGUUGUGCCUUGCAAAAACUCAGAAGUAUUUUGUGAUGCGGGAGACAUUAGCAAGUGUGUUGUGGCAAAAAUUGGAAGACAAGUAUAUGACAAAGAGUGCAGAGAACCGCCUACACUUGAAGAAAAAGCUCUACCGCUUCCAAUACAAAGAAGGUACAAAAAUGAUUAGACACCUUGAUGCUUUUAAUAAGUUGAUUGCCGACUUGUUAAAUUUAGAUGAGGAUAUUAAGGAUGAAGAUAAGGCCUUAAUAUUGUUGAAUUCAUUGCCGGACUCUUAUGAGCAUUUUGUUACCACUAUUAUGCAUGGUAAAGAAACUGUGAAAUUUGAAGAUGUGUCAAAUGCCUUGAUGAAUUAUGAAAUGAGGCAUAGAGAUAAAAAUCAUGAUAGUACCUCUGAAGCUUUAUUUGUUAGAGGUAGAUCAUCGGAGAGGAGGUCAUCUUCUAGCAGGGAAAAAUCACAGUCUCGACCUAGAGGAAACUCUAAAGGUAGAAAACCUUUGGAAAGGGAUGAAUGUGCCUUUUGUCGUAAUAAGGGCCAUUGGAAGAAAGAUUGUCCCAAAUUGAAGACCAAAGGAAAAGAAAGUUCUGAAGCUAAUGUUGCUGAGGUUGAAACAGAUUUUUCUGAUUUUGCUUUAACCACUUCCUCAUAAUUUGAUUGUGCUACUAAGUGGGUGUUGGAUACGGGUUGUACUCAUCAUAUGACUCCUCACAAAGAUUGGUUUUCAAGCUUGAAAGAGUUUGAUGGUGGCGUUGUGUUCAUGGGAGAUGACAAUCCUUGCACAACAAAAGGGAUUGGUACAGUUCGUUUGAAGUUGCAUGAUGGCAUGGUUAAAGAGUUGACAGGUGUUCGGUAUGUACCGAAUUUGAAGAAAAAUCUUAUUUCUUUGGGUACUUUGGAAUCCAAGGGCUUCAGGUUUCAUUCAGAUGGACAGACAUUGAAAGUUACUUAUGGUGCACUUGUUGUGAUGAAAGCUCAUAGAUGUGGCCAUUUGUAUUUAUUGCAGGGAAGCACUGUGAUAGGUGAAGCAUCUGUAGUCUCUGAAAAUAUGGGCACAUCUGAUUCAGAUACUACUAGAUUGUGGCAUAUGAGAUUAGGCCAUGCCGGUGAGAAAGCUCUACAAGGGCUUGUGAAAAAAGGUCUUCUAAAAGGUGCCACGACUUGUAAGCUUGAUUUUUGCGAGCAUUGUGUCUUGGGGAAGCAAACUAGAGUGAAGUUUGGUACUGCUGUACAUCAGACGAAGGGCAUUCUUGAUUAUGUGCAUUCGGAUGUUUGGGGUCCUACAAAGACUCCCUCUUUGAGUGGUAGACAUUGGUUCGUGACCUUUGUUGAUGAUUAUUCAAGAAGGUCUUGGGUCUACACUAUGAAGCACAAGAGUGAGGUGUUAAGCAUUUUCUUGGGUUGGAAGAAAAAUGUUGAGAAGCAGACUGGGAGAAAGAUUGAAUCGAACCUUGCUUGAGAAGGUUAGAUGUUUGUUGUCUCAGUCGGGUUUAAGCAAGUCAUUUUGGGCAGAGGCAGUUAAUUAUGCAUGUCACAUCAUCAACCGGUUACCCUCAGCUGCUGUUCAGGGUAAGACACCAAUGGAGGUAUGGACUGGAAAACCUUCUUCUGAUUAUGACAAUAUCCGUAUUUUUGGUUCACCUGCUUAUUUUCAUGUGACUGAAAAUAAACUUGAUCCUAGAGCCAAAAAGGCUAUCUUUCUUGGUUUUAGUAGUGGUGUCAAAGGUUACAGGUUGUGGUGCCCAGAGAUGAAAAAACUUGUAAUCAGCAGAGAUGUGACAUUUGAUGAAGAAAGUAUGUACAAAGUCUCUGAGAAGAAUGUGAAAGAUGUCCAACAGGUGGAGCUUGAGAAAGUUGCCUCUGGUACUUCAAAUCUUAUUUCCGCUGAUGUCGAAGCCACUACAAGUGAAGAAGUUGGAGACCAUGAGGAUGUUGAAGAAGUUGAACUUGAAGAUUCUAUUCAAGUUGAAGAGCAAGUUUCACCUCAAGAGUCUAUUGCCAAGAACAGAGGAAAUAGACAAAUUACCAAGCCAGCUCGGUAUAGUGAUUAUGUUGCUUUUGCUCUUCCUAUUAUCACUGAAGAGAUUCCAUCCAAUUUUGAGGAAGCUAUUGAGAGUGAGGAGAAGAAUAGGUGGUGCAAUGCCAUGGGUGAUGAGAUGAAUUCUCUCUUGAAGAACAAGACUUGGGAGUUAGCUAAAUUGCCUAAGGGCAAGAAAGCUAUUGGUUGCAAAUGGGUGUAUGCCAAGAAGGAAGAUGCUGAUGAGAAAAGCAAUGUGAGAUUCAAAGCAAGAUUAGUUGCUAAAGGGUAUGCACAAAAUGAGGGCAUUGACUACAAUGAAAUCUUUUCUCCGGUUGUGAAACACUCCUCAAUUCGCAUUAUGUUAGCUCUUGUUGCACAAUAUGAUCUUGAGCUUGUGCAACUUGAUGUGAAGACGGCUUUCCUACAUGGUGAUUUGAAUGAAGAGAUCUAUAUGUGUCAACCGGAUGGGUAUAUAGUGAAAGGGAAGGAAAAUUUGUUUUGCAAAUUGAAGAAAUCGCUUUAUGGCUUGAAGCAAUCUCCAAGGCAAUGGUAUUUGAGGUUUGAUAAAUUUAUGAGAUGCCAAAAUUAUUCUAGAAGUCAAUAUGAUCAUUGUGUGUACUUCAAGAAGUUGCAAGAUGGGUCUUUCAUUUAUUUGUUGAUAUAUGUUGAUGAUAUGUUGAUUGCCUCAAAGAAUGUUGAAGAGAUUGAAAAAUUGAAGAAACAAAUGAAGAAUGAGUUUGAGAUGAAGGAUCUUGGUGAAGCAAAGAAGAUCCUUGGCAUGGAGAUCACUAGAGAGAGAAGGGUUUGGUCAGUUUGAAUCAAAGACAAUACCUUGAGAAGUUGAUUCGGAAGUUUGGAGUUCAUGAUUCAACCAAACCGGUUAGUACCCCUUUGGCUCCUCAUUUUAAAUUGAGUUCUCUACAAUGUCCUAAAACUGAUAAAGAUAAGCUGCAAAUGAAAAAUAUACCAUAUGCAAAUUUGGUUGGUAGUUUGAUGUAUGCAAUGGUAUGCUCUAGACCGGAUAUUGCUCAUGCAGUUGGCAUGGUGAGUCGAUAUAUGCAUAAUCCAGGUAAAGAGCACUGGCAAGCAGCUAAGUGGAUAUUGAGAUAUCUCCAUGGUACUCGAGAUGUUGGUUUAUGCUUUGAGAGGGAUGACUCUGGUAUUGGUCAUUUUGCAGUUGGUUAUGUUGAUUCAGAUUAUGCAGGUGAUCUGGAUGGAAGGAAAUCUACUACAGGCUAUGUGUUUACUAUGGCUAAAGGGCCAGUUUGUUGGAGGUCCAUUUUGCAGUCGUAUGUUGCCUUGUCUACUACAGAGGCUGAAUAUAUGGCAGUUGCUGAAGCUAUAAAGGAGGCCAUUUGGAUACAUGGGCUGAUUAGAGAUUUAGGGGUUGAUCAGAAGCAGGUGGAGGUACAUUAUGAUAGUCAGAGUGCCAUUUAUUUGGCUAAGUAUCAGGUUCAUCAUGCGAGGACCAAGCACAUAGAUGUACGUUAUCACUUUGUUCGUGAAAUUGUUGGUGAAGGGGAAAUCAUUCUCCAGAAGAUUCCAACUAAAGACAACCCCGAUGAUAUGUUGACUAAGGUUGUUGGUGUAGCCAAGUUUGUUCAUUGCUUGAACUUGGCUCACAUUUUGCCUAUAUAAAGAAGGCGUUGAGCAGUAGGAGUUUUGGAGCAUUUGGCUCGGCAUGAGUUGUUCUCUUGCUAGUGUUUGGGAGUGAUGUUGUGUGUUAAUUGUGUUGGUUGGCUUAUCAUGGCGUUUUUUCGGAACUUGGCCAAGGUGAAGAUUGUUGGAGUAUGUGGCCAAGUGGCCAACUUUUGAUUAAACAAAUCAAAAAGGAAAAAAAGACAAAAUAAUUAUGUCUCUUCCUUGUUUUGGGGAAAAGAAAAGGGAAUUUGUCUAAAGUUUUCUUGGUCUAUGUGGGAAGUCACGGAUGAGUUUUUGAAGUAGAAGUAAUUGCUACUUUUGAUGAAGAGUAGUAAUGAAGCCAUAAGAGAGAAAAAAAAAACGUAGCAGAAAAAUAGAGCAAAAACAAAGGUGCUGAAGCCCCAUUUUGAAGAGAAGAAAGAAAGGUGAUUUUCUUUCUUUGUUGGUACUCACUCAAUCAAAGUUGUAUUUGUGUAUUAGCUUUGAGCUUUGUAUAGAGAGGAAAUUAUUCACUAUAUUUCCCUCUCUAUUUGUUUCUUUGGUGAGUGAGAGUUAUUGGAUGUAUUGGGGUUUUGGGUUGUGAGAUUGCCAACACUUUGUAAACUCCCAUUUGGUUGAUAGUGGAUUAUUGGGUGAGCUCCUACUGCUCCGAGGACGUACUCCAGUUACACUGACUGUUGAGGAACCUCGUUAAAAUCUUGGUGUUCUUUUAUAUUUUGUUCUUGCAUUUUUAUUUGAUAAAAUUUCCUGUGGGUUAGCUUGAGUUGGUUCCAACGGGUUUGGUGCUAUCUUAGCACAACAAAAUAUGCAUGAUUAACGCGACGAUAAUCAAGAAAUCAAGAGAAUAAUCCGAGCGAUUAAAUCAAAGGAAUCGAUUGGUUCGAAUAGUAUAAGACAUACGAACGAACCUGAAGAAUCGAGAGCUGGAGAGAGAUAGAGAGAGAGGAGUGACUCUCAGCAGACUAGAGGUGCGUAUGGGACUGAGAGAGAAAUGUGUAGGUUCCGUAGGAGGGUGUGAGUGCUAUAUAAGGAUAGGGUUUUCGUUUCUUGGGUUGGGCUUCAUUUUUUUUACUUUAUAGUAUUUUGUAGGCCCAACAAAAUCCACACGGACCUUUUUAACAGCAUAUAUAAUUAUUCUAGAGAUUAAAACUUUAAUUAUUUUAAUAAAUAAAAAAAUUCGAAUUUGGGUGCAAAGAGAUGGCGACACGACCUUUGCCAACCAACCUUUUGGGUGCAAAGAGACGGCGACACGACCUUUGCCAACCAACCUAAUCCACAGUUGCAUAAUCACCCAAAGUUCGCUCUUUAUACACCCCAACUCCAAACUUGGUUUUCGCCAAAGUUUUAUUAAUUAAUCAAACAAAAAUUAGUGAAAAAAGUUAUUAGCACCACAGUAUAGGAAUAUUUUUCUUCAAUUGUAAGUAAGAUUUUAUGUUUGACUCUUAAAAUAAUGAGUUCCAUAAUAAUUUAUCAUGAAACAAUUUCGUAAGACUUCUUACUAAGGGAAGAGGAACCAUAAACAUCGUUGCUCAUCAGUAUUUGAGCAGCAUUCCGUAGAACUCUUUGGAAAGAUUUUGUUGUUUUCCCGGAAAAUACAAAUGGUAUUAUUACAUACAUUGUCUUAUUCUAAUUUUUAUAACGACUCUCUCACUGGAUGUGCGACCCACAAAAUUACGAAAUCAUGUAAGAUUCACAUAAGACCGAAAUAGUAUGCGAGACGGUUAUAGUGAGAAACACAAUAAGAAUCUCUCUCUCUUUUACGCACGCCUUGCGAAUAUGGUUGACAUGAAGGAAUGCAAGAGGGAGCUGUUGCUGUUCUUCCCAGUUCGAACCGGUCGCGGAUUACGCCCAACAUCACGCAGCAGGGACAAAGCAAACUAGUAAACAAAAAGUAUGGUUAGUUAAAAAAUGGCACGUAGCAAAAAUGGCAGAAAUUGGUCCAUAAGACAAAGUAAAAACAGAAUGUGUAGGUCUCUGUUCUGAGCAGGCACAAAACAUUUAACUAGUAGUAGCACAGAUGCUGACUACAACAACAGUGUAACAGCAUUAAACAAAAACGAUUCAAAUGGAAACCAAAAAUUAACGCAGUGCAUCAACGACGUAAUAUUACUCAAAGCUUGUCCUCGAACUCGGAUAGCGGGGUCAUCUGCUCCUUCAAUCCCUUCCUCUUACGGAUGUCGGUAACAAGUGCUGCAGCCUGGGAUCCCGCUUCCAAUGGAUCGGACGACAUCAUCUCCCAAUGAUCAAACACACAUUGCGGGAAAGCCUGCCCAGAAGUUGCAGCCCUCAGUUGACCAGAGAAUCCAAAGGACUCAACGACAGGGAGGUAUGCCUUGAUGUUGUAGAGUGGAGUUCCAGGCCUUUGCAUCUCCUCAAACACGUGCCCACGUUUCUGAUUCAGAACACUGUAGAUACCGCCAAGAGCCCCCUCUGGAGCUUGAAUUUCAACGAGAUAAACUGGUUCGAGAAGCCUUGGCUUGGCUGUAAGCUGAGAGGCAUAGAUGACCCUUCGAGCGGUUGGAAUGACCUGACCACCCCCUCUGUGGAUAGCAUCAGCAUGAAGAACCACAUCACAGACUUCAAAGCAAAUACCUCUCAUGUUUUCUUCAGCCAAUGCACCUUCCUUUGAGGCCCACUGGAACCCAGCAACAACAGAAUCCUUGAUUUCAUUAAGGUACUGAACUCCCUUACACAUGUCGACCACCAUGUUAGGACCAGUCGUCUCGGGACCAAAACACCAGAUUUUCUUAGCAAGAUCCUUGUCCCAACCAAACUCCUCAGCCAAGAUCUUGGAACGAAUCUUGGGAUCAUCUCUUGGGCCAAUGCGACCUUCAUCAAUAGCCUCGGGAAGACCUUCCUCAAGGGGCCUUGCUUCCAUGUACAGACGAUUAUGCUUGUUUGGGGACUUGCUCAUCACUGUACGGCAGGACUUAUCAAGGACAGUCUCACGGAAGGACACAACAGGGUCAGACUUUAUAAUCUCGGCACCACCCAUAAAAUCAUCUUGCAGAUCCUUCAAACAUAUCUCAAGAUGCAGUUCACCAGCACCAGCAAUAAUGUGCUCUCCAGACUCCUCAAUGGAGCAGACAACCAUAGGAUCAGACUUGGCCAAACGUUUGAGACCUUCAACAAGUUUGGGAAGGUCAGAUGCGACCUUGCACUGGACAGCAACACGCACGACAGGUGAAACAGAGAACUUCAUAGCACGAAUAGGGUGAGCAUCUACUUCCUUCUCAUUUGUUAAAGUAGCAUUCUUGGUGAUAAACUGAUCCAAACCGACCAAAGCAACAGUGUUACCACAAGGAACAUCCUCAACAGUUUCUUGUCUCUUUCCCAUCCAAAUAACCGUCCUCUGUACGUUCUUGACAUACAAAUCCUUCUUUUCUCCAGGAACAAAAUUUGGACCCAUGAUUCUAACCUUCAAACCUGUCUGAACUUUACCAGCAAAGACACGGCCAAAGGCAAAGAAUCUACCCUUAUCAGAAGCAGGAAUCAUCUUAGACACAUAAAGCAUAAGAGGUCCUUCGGGGUCACAAUUCCUGAUGGCAUUGGCAUAUUGAUCAUCAAGGGGACCCUCGUACAAAUUCUCAACACGGUACCUUUGAGCCGUGGAGGGAGAUGGAAGGUGAAAGAUCAUCAUUUCCAAUAGAGCAGUGCUAGCUGGUAGCCAGGUCUGCAUAACACGCUUCAUCAACGCCUUCCCCAUCAGGUCCUUCUCAUCACUCUUCAUGGUGACACCAAGCUUUGUCAACAUGGGCCACAACUUAUCCUUCUGAUCAUUCAUGCAGGUUUUGAUGAUCUGCUUGAUGGGCUCAUAACAGAACUGAACAAAACCACGCUUGCAAGUAGCAGUUCCAGUGUUCUUGCUGGUCCAUUUCUUGGUAGCUGGGUCAAAGAAGUUCUCACCCCAGAGCCUUUCCAUCAUCUUUGACUCAUCAACUCCAAACUUGGAAGCAUACAUCUUAGCAAAGUUGGUCAGAGUGAAAGCCCAACCGUGCAAACCAGCUGAAAAGGCAACGGUUCCUUUCUCUGGGUACACCUGGACAUCACCAAGAAGUGGAUCUUCAUAUGUAGCCAUAAUGACAUUGGCAUUUUCAAUAACUCUUUGGAAUGUCUGGUAAGCCUCUUCUCCAUCGACCUGGAGCUCAAGGAAGCACCUGUCCAUCUUGUUAACGGUCAAAACAGGCCUGAUCCUCUCUCCCAAGGCUUGACGGAGCACAGUCUCAGUCUGGACACACACACCCUCAAUACAAUCCACCACCACAAGUGCACCAUCAGUAAUACGCAGAGCAGCUGUGACCUCAGAUGAAAAGUCAACGUGCCCGGGGGAAUCAAUGAGAUUGAUGAGGUACUCAUUUCCGUUUCUCUCUCCCUUGAACCUCGACAAAGACUCAUCAGUCAUCUCAUAGUACAAAGAGAUACCGGUAGAUUUGAUUGUGAUACCACGCUCAGCUUCAUCUGCACGGGUAUCCGUCAUACGGACAUCACCGGCAACUU